GAUGAACGCUGGCGGCGUGCCUAAUACAUGCAAGUCGAGCGAACGGACGAGAAGCUUGCUUCUCUGAUGUUAGCGGCGGACGGGUGAGUAACACGUGGAUAACCUACCUAUCAGACUGGGAUAACUUCGGGAAACCGGAGCUAAUACCGGAUAAUAUUUUGAACCGCAUGGUUCAAAAGUAAAAGACGGUCUUUCUGUCACUUAUAGAUGGAUCCGCGCUGCAUUAGCUAGUUGGUAAGGUAACGGCUUACCAAGGCAACGAUGCAUAGCCGACCUGAGAGGGUGGUCGGCCACACUGGAAGUGAGGCACGGCCCAGACGACUACGGGAGGCAGCAGUAGGGAAUCUUCCGCAAUGGGCGAAAGCCUGACGGAGCAACGCCGCGUGAGUGAUGAAGGUCUUCGGAUCGUAAAACUCUGUUAUUAGGGAAGAACAUAUGUGUAAGUAACUGUGCACAUCUUGACGGUACCUAAUCAGAAAGCCACGGCUAACUACGUG
rnacentral:rRNA from 1 species